GGUUAACCAAGGUACUGAUCCUAGAAGCUCUGAUUGGGGGCCAACCCACGACCUGGCUACUUCUCCCGCCAUUGAUAGUUGCAGCAGAAUCAGAAUUUCUCUUCGACCCAUCAGUGACAUUGACUCCACGAAGCGAAGACGAGGAACAUACAGACGAGGUAGAUGAAGAAGAAGACAUAGACGAAUGAGAAGAGAUCGAGGAAGGAAAAUCCUCAGCCGUUAAAAUUCUACCAAAUUGAACCCCGCUUGGAAUUUUGUGAAUCUUGCGUGCGGAGUCGCGAACACCGAGGCAAAGCCCUAACCCCAAUUCGAUUUCAGCUUCAUCUGGGCAA
rnacentral:misc_RNA from 1 species